rnacentral:lncRNA from 1 species
GACUUCAAUUCUGCAGCUCAAAUUUUAAACAAUGCUAAUCAAAGAUUUGCUAAAUUACAUAGACAUCUAUUGUGGAUCUCAAGAAUUAAACAAUGCUAAUCAAAGCUUUGCUAAAUUGCGAAGACUACUUCUAUUGUGGAACUCAAGAAUUAAACAAUGUUCAUCAUAACUUUGCUAAAUUGCAUAGACUUCAAAUGUGGAACUCAAGAAUGAAACAAUGCUCAUCAAAGCUUUGCUUAAAUUGCAUAGACUUCUAUUGUCGAACUCAAGAAUUAAACAAUACUCAUAAAAGCUUUGCUAAAUUGCAAAGAAUACUUCUAUUAUGGAACUCAACAAUUAAACAAUGCUCAUCAAUGCUCUGCUAAAUUGCGUAGACUUCCAAUGUGGAAACCAAGAAUGAAACAAUGCUCCUAAAGCUAUGCUAAAUUGCAUAGACUUCUAUUGUGGAACUCAAGAAUGAAACAAUGCUCAUCAAAGCUUUGCUAAAUUGCAUAGAUUUCUAAUUUGGAACUCUAGAAUGAAACAAUGCUCAUCAAAGGUUUUCUUAAAUUGUAUACUUUUAUUGUAGAACUCAAUAAUUAAAAAAUGCUCAUCAAAGCUUUGCUAAAUUGCGAAGACUGCUUGUAUUGUGGAACUCGAGAAUUAAACAAUGCUCAUCAAACCCUUGCUAAAUUACAUAGACUUCUAUUGUGGAACUCGAGAAUUGUACAAUGCUCAUCAAAGCAUUGCUUCAACUGCAUAGACUUCAGUUGUGGAGCUCAAGUAUUAAACAAUGCUAAUCAAAUAUUUGCUAAAUUGCAUAGACAUCAAUUGUGGAACUCAAGAAUUAAACAAGGCUAAUCAAAGCUUUGCUAAAUUGCGAAGACUACUUCUAUUGUGGAACUCAAGAAUUAAACAAUGUUCAUCAUAGCUUUGCUAAACUGCAUAAACUUCUAAUGUGGAACUCAAGAAUGAAACAAUGCUCAUCAAAGCUUUGCUAAAAUUGCAUAGACUUCUAAUGUGGAACUUAAGAAUUAAACAAUGCUUCUCAAAGAUUUGCUAAAUUGUGAAGACUAGUUCAAUUGUGGAACUCAAGAAUGAAACAAUGCUCAUCAAAGCUUUGCUUAAAUCGCAUAAAGGCAACUUCUGUUGUGGAACUCAAGAAUCAAACAACGCUCUUCAAAGCUUUGCUAAAUUGCAAAGACUACUUCUAUUGUGGAACUCUUGAAUUAAACAAUGCUCAUCAAAGCUUUGCUUAAAUCGCAUAAAGGCAACUUCUGUUGUGGAACUCAAGAAUCAAACAACGCUCUUCAAAGCUUUGCUAAAUUGCAAAGACUACUUCUAUUGUGGAACUCUUGAAUUAAACAAUGCUCAUCAAAGCUUUGCUAAAUUGCGAAGACUACUUGUAUUGUGGAACUCGAGAAUUAAACAAUGCUUAUCAAAACCUUGCUAAAUUGCAUAGAAUUCUAUUGUGGAACUCGAGAAUUGUACAAUGCUCAUCAUAGCAUUGCUUCAACUGCAUAGACUUUAAUUGUGGAGUUCAACUAUUAAAGAAUGCUAAUCAAAGAUUUGCUAAAUUGCAUAGACAUCAAUUGUGGAACUCAAGAAUUAAACAAGGCUAAUCAAAGCUUUGCUAAAUUGCGAAGACUACUUCUAUUGUGGAACUCAAGAAUUAAACAAUGUUCAUCAUAGCUUUGCUAAACUGCAUAGACUUCUAAUGUGGAACUCAAGAAUGAAAC